CAGAAGAUUAGGGAGUAAAAAUGUAACACUGAAGAAAGAAAGAAAUAAUCAAAGAACCUAAAAGCUUUUUCACUUUGCAAUCAUUUCCAAAAAUGUUCUAACAAUCUCAACAAAUGAGAGUUUUCAUUUUGGGAAUCAACCAAGAGACUGACUCCUGAGAAACUGAGGAAUGUGCGAAACCUGACAGUUUGCAGAGAAGAAGAAAACACGCAGAUUAAUCCUCUGAGGAGUCUCACCUGGUGUAGGAAACUUAAUCUACUGAGAAGACAUCGAGGCAUUUACAUUCACCCUGGAACAAAAGCUGAGUAAAUAAACUCACAGGGGAUCAAAGUGGGACAGGGCUGGCUGAGAGUUCACAUCGUGGUUUCCGAGGUCCCACUGAUGUGAUGUGUUGUUUUCUCAGGUCCAAUAUCAGCCCUCACAAGGUUUUAGUAAUCUGAAGGUGACCUGGAGCUGCAUCCACCCUGUGGCCCAGAUAUACCUGAGAAUUAUUUUUUAAUUCAAAGUCACAUGUGUUGCAUAAAAAAGUGCAGUAUUGAGAUUUUUCAUUAUUUUAUGAAUUAAUUCCUUCUUUUUCCUCUGCAGUUUUUUCCCCUGUUAUGUUUUUAGCUCCCUCCUGUGGCACAGCUCUAAACCUGCAGCCUCAUUUGAAACAGUCCACGACACUCUAGCAGGAAAAAUGCACCGUGAACCCACUGAAAGCAAGUUUUUAAUUUUAACUUUAAGAUUUUUUGUUUAAAUUAGUUUUCCAUUAUAAUACAUGUACAUCUGAGACUUGUUGGUUGUUUCUUUCACCAAACUGAGCUCAACGUUCAACCACCUUGUAUGAAUUGAUCCCUUUGUCAUGCACAUGGCUACAUAAUGAAUGAGCAUAUGACAUUUAGGAGUAAACAUCUUGAUCUGGAAGAAAGAAAUAUCUGGUUUUGACAGUAAACAGCCUCCACUCGAUGCACCUGACUGGCAGAGUUCGGGUUAAUUAUUAGAAAGUACAACUUGUGGUUGUAUAACAGGCUGCAGAGGAAGCAGAGCCAACAGAAAC
rnacentral:lncRNA from 1 species